GCGGAAGGAUCAUUAGUGAUAUAGAAAAUCUAUUUUCUAGUCUCUAUAUACACCCUUUGUCAACUCAUACCUUUGUUGCUUCCACUGGACAGAUGGAUACGCCUAGUGCGAGUCCAUCCUCUGGCCUCUUCACCGAGGACGGGGAGUGCCAGUGGAAAGAAUACAAUUAAAACUUUGUCUUUAGAAAACUUGUCUGACAAUUAUAUUUUUUAAUAAAAUAAAACUUUCAACAACGGAUCUCUAGGCUCUUGCAUCGAUGAAGAACGCAGUGAAAUGCGAUAAGUAAUGUGAAUUGCAGAAUCUCGUGAAUCAUUGAAUCUUUGAACGCACAUUGCGCCCUAUGGUAUUCCGUAGGGCAUGCCUGUCUGAGCGUCAGCUCGUCUUCUCAAGCUCUUUUGCUUGGAUAACAUUGGAAUAGCAAUGCAAGCUCCACUUGGAGUCUGUGUGCUCUCCAGAAAUUUAUAGGCGGUACGGUUCUAGCAAACCAGACGUAAUAAUAUUCUUAUCUAUCGUUAAUUUGUUGAAACUGUUGCUUGCCUUUUAAUCCACAUCUUUUUUCAAGAUGACCUCAGAUCAGGUAGGGAUACCCGCUGAACUUAAGCAUAUCAAUAAGCGGAGGA
rnacentral:rRNA from 1 species